GACGAACGCUGGCGGCGUGCUUAACACAUGCAAGUCGAACGGAGCGUAGCAAUACGCUUAGUGGCGGACGGGUGAGUAACGCGUGAGCAACCUGCCUUAUACAGCGGGAUAACACAGAGAAACUUGUGCUAAUACCGUAUAAGACCACAGUGGGGCAUCCGACAGGGGUAAAAGAAAAUCGGUAUAAGAGGGGCUCGCGUCCCAUUAGAUAGUUGGUAGGGUAACGGCCUACCAAGUCAGCGAUGGGUAGCCGACCUGAGAGGGUGAUCGGCCACACUGGAACUGAGACACGGUCCAGACUCCUACGGGAGGCAGCAGUGGGGAAUAUUGGGCAAUGGAGGAAACUCUGACCCAGCAACGCCGCGUGAAUGAUGAAGGUCUUCGGAUUGUAAAGUUCUUUAAUUGGGGACGAAUAAAUGACGGUACCCAAGGAAUAAGCCACGACUAACUACGUGCCAGCAGUCGCGGUAAUACGUAGGUGGCAAGCGUUGUCCGGAAUGACUGGGCGUAAAGGGAGUGAAGGCGGUUUUGUAAGUUAGGAGUGAAAUCCCGAGGCUCAACCUCGGAACUGCUUUUAAGACUGCAAGACUUGAGUGAUGGAGAGGAAAGCGGAAUUCCUAGUGUAGCGGUGGAAUGCGUAGAUAUUAGGAGGAACACCAGAGGCGAAGGCGGCUUUCUGGACAUUAACUGACGCUCAUACUCGAAAGCGUGGGGAGCAAACAGGAUUAGAUACCCUGGUAGUCCACGCUGUAAACGAUGAUUACUAGAUGCGGGGGGUACGACUCCUCCCGUGUCGCAGCUAACGCAAUUAGUAAUCCGCCUGGGGAGUACGGCCGCAAGGUUGAAACUCAAAGGAAUUGACGGGGACCCGCACAAGCAGCGGAGCAUGUGCUUUAAUUCGACGCAACGCGAAGAACCUUACCAAGACUUGACAUUGUAUGACAGGUGUGGAGAUACACUUUUCUCUUCGGAGACAGGUAGACAGGUGGUGCAUGGUUGUCGUCAGCUCGUGUCGUGAGAUGUUGGGUUAAGUCCCGCAACGAGCGCAACCCUUAUGAAUAGUUGCCAAUAUUAAGUUAGGAACUCUAUUCAGACUGCCAUAGAUAAUAUGGAGGAAGGUGGGGAUGACGUCAAAUCAUCAUGCCCCUUACAUCUUGGGCCACACACGUGCUACAAUGGUCGCUACAAAGAGAAGCUAGCCGGUAACGGUACGCCAAUCUCAAAAAAGCGGUCUCAGUUCGGAUUGUGGGCUGCAACUCGCCCACAUGAAGUCGGAGUUGCUAGUAAUCCCGAAUCAGCAUGUCGGGGUGAAUGCGUUCCCGGGGAUUGUACACACUGCCCGUCAAGCCAUGGGAGUUGGGAGUACCCGAAGCCGGUGAGAUAACCGUAAGGAAGGAGCUGUCGAAGGUAAGAUCAAUGAUUGGGGUGAAGUCGUAACAAGGUAGCCGUAUCGGAAGG
rnacentral:rRNA from 1 species